rnacentral:tRNA from 1 species
GCCCAGAUAGCUCAGACAGUAGAGCAUAAGACUUUUAAUCUAAUGGUCCAGGGUUCAAGUUCUUGUUUGGGCA